UACGGGGGGUGCAAGCGUUGUUCGGAGUUACUGGGCGUAAAGCGCGCGUAGGCGGUUAAAUAAGUUGGAUGUGAAAUCCCCGGGCUCAACCUGGGAACUGCAUUCGAAACUGUUUAACUAGAGUAUGGUAGAGGGAAGUAGAGUUCCAGGUGUAGCGGUGAAAUGCGUAGAUAUCUGGAGGAACAUCAGUGGCGAAGGCGGCUUCCUGGAUCAAUACUGACGCUGAGGUGCGAAAGCGUGGGGAGCAAACAGG
rnacentral:rRNA from 1 species